CAAGUACUGGUCUCAGCAGACUGAGGAGAGCACCACAGUGGUCACCACACAGUCUGCUGAGGUUGGAGCUGC
rfam:Callithrix jacchus chromosome 18, whole genome shotgun sequence